UGAUAUAUCAACACUCCACCCCAUCCCCAUACAAAAGUGUCAUUUCUUUCCAAAACAAAAAAGCUCUAAAAGAGCAUAUGCAACAACACUUUGCAGAACCUAUCAAGCCAAAUUACCCUCCCAAAAUAUGCAUUUCUUCAACUUCUUCUCCCUUUUCCUUUUUGUGUCUUCCCUCUUUUUGUUACUUAAAUGGAAGAAUUCCAAUAGCAAAACCAAAAAAUUACCUCAUGGUCCAUGGAAAUUACCUUUAAUUGGAAGCAUGUUUCAUUUGCUAGGUGGACUUCCACAUCAUGUCCUUAGAGAUUUAGCAAAAAAAUAUGGACCAAUUAUGCACCUUCAACUGGGUGAAGUUUCUCUAGUUGUUGUCACUUCUCCUGACAUGGCCAAACAAGUAUUAAAAACUCAUGACCUCGCUUUUGCAUCUAGGCCCAAGCUUUUAGCUGCCGAGAUUCUCUUUUAUAACGGAACUGAUAUUGUCUUUUCCCCCUAUGGAGAUUACUGGAGACAAAUGCGUAAAAUAUGUCUAUUGGAAUUGCUUAGCGCAAAAAAUGUUAAAUCAUUCAACUCUAUUAGACAAGAUGAAGUUCUUCGUAUGAUUGAUUUUUUUCGAUCAUCUACUGGUGAGACAGUUAAUGCAACAAAAAAGUUUUACCAAUUCUCAAGCUCUAUGACCUGUAGAGCAACCUUUGGGAAAGUAUUAGAAGAGCAAGACGAACUUAUACUACUCGUUAAAAAAGCAUCACGUUUAAUGGAAGGAUUUGAUGUGGCUGAUAUAUUUCCAUCACUAAAAUUUCUUCAUGUAUUAUGUGGAAUGAAGGGUAAAAUUAUGGAUGCUCACCAUGAGUUAGAUGUCAUUCUUGAAAACAUCAUCAAUGAGCACAAGAAUAAUGGUGAAUUAGGAGGUGAAGGUAAUUUAGUUGCCACAUUGCUAAGACUAAUGAAAGAGGGAGGUUUUCAAUUUCCAAUCACCAACGACAAUAUCAAAGCUAUUAUUUUUGACAUGUUUGGUGCGGGAACAAAGACUUCAUCAACAACAAUUGAUUGGACCAUGGUGGAAAUGAUGAAGAAUCUCCAAAGCUCAAGCAGAGGUAAGAAAUGCGUUCAAAGGUAAAGAAACAUUUGAUGAAAAUGAUGUCGAAGAAUUGAAAUACCUAAAGUUGGUCGUUAAAGAAAGUUUCAGACUCCAUCCUCCAUUUCCCCUUUUGCUUCCAAGAGAAUGUAGGGAAGAAGUAGACAUAAACGGCUACACUAUUCCCUUGAAUUGGAAGAGAUCCUAAAUAUUGGAAUGACGCAGAAAGCUUUAAACCUGAAAGAUUUGAGCAUAACUCUAUGGAUUUUUGUUGAUAAUAAUUUUGAAUAUCUUCCCUUUGGUAGUGGAAGGAGGAAUUGUCCUGGGAUAUCAUUUGGCUUAGCUAAUGUUUAUUUUCCACUGGCACAAUUAUUGUAUCACUUUGAUUGGAAACUUCCUAGUGGAAUCAAACCAAGUGAUUUGGACUUGACUAGGGACUUGACUGAGUCUGCUGGAGUAACUUGUGCUAGAAAGAGUAACCUAUAUUUGCUCGCUACUCCUCAUCAUCCUCGUCAUCAAGAGUGAUGUCAUAGAAUCAAAUCAUAAUAAAGGACUUU